AUUGAACGCUGGCGGCAUGCCCUACACAAGCAAGUCGAACGGCAGCGCGGACUUCGGUCUGGCGGCGAGUGGCGAACGGAUGAGUAAUACAUCGGAACGUACCCUGUUGUGGGGGAUAACUAGUCGAAAGAUUAGCUAAUACCGCAUACGACCUGAGGGUGAAAGUGGGGGACCGCAAGGCCUCACGCAGCAGGAGCGGCCGAUGUCUGAUUAGCUAGUUGGUGGGGUAAAGGCCCACCAAGGCGACGAUCAGUAGCUAGUCUGAGAGGACGAUCAGCCACACUGGGACUGAGACACGGCCCAGACUCCUACGGGAGGCAGCAGUGGGGAAUUUUGGACAAUGGGGGCAACCCUGAUCCAGCAAUGCCGCGUGUGUGAAGAAGGCCUUCGGGUUGUAAAGCACUUUUGUCCGGAAAGAAAUCGCGCUGGUUAAUACCUGGCGUGGAUGACGGUACCGGAAGAAUAAGCACCGGCUAACUACGUG
rnacentral:rRNA from 1 species